CCCUUAGAUGUUCUGGGCCGCACGCGCGCUACAAUGGCAGACUCAGCGAGUUACCUCUGUCGAAAGGCACAGGGAAUCUUUACAGUAUCUGCCGUGAUGGGGAUAGACCCUUGUAAUUUUUGGUCUUCAAAGAGGAAUUCCUAGUAAACGCAAGUCAUUAACUUGCAUUGAUUACGUCCCUGCCCUUUGUACACACCGCCCGUCGCACCUACCGAUUGAAUGGUCCGGUGAAGUCCUCGGACCCAGUUGAACCUCGAGUUGAACAGGGAAAGUUGACUAAAUCUUACCAUUUAGAGGAAGGUGAAGUCGUAACA
rnacentral:rRNA from 1 species